rnacentral:rRNA from 1 species
GUCGAACGCUGGCGGCAGGCCUAACACAUGCAAGUCGAACGAGUGGCGGACGGGUGAGUAAUGUCUGGGAACCUGCCCGAUGGAUGGGGCAAACUACUGGAAACGGUAGCUAAUACCGCAUACCAUCGGAUGUGCCCAGCUGGGAUUAGCUAGUAGGUGGGGUAAAGGCUCACCGAGGCGACGAUCCCUAGCUGGUCUGAGAGGAUGACCAGCCACACUGGGACUGAGACACGGCCCAGACUCCUACGGGAGGCAGCAGUGGGGAAUCUUGGACAAUGGGCGAAAGCCUGAUGCAGCCAUGCCGCGUGUAUGAAGAAGGCUUUCGGGUUGUAAAGUACUUUUAGCGGGGAGGCGGUAUUUGAAGAAGAAGCAACGGCUAACUCCGUGCCAGCAGCCGCGGUAAUAC